rnacentral:rRNA from 1 species
UAGCGUAUAUUAAAGUUGUUGUGGUUAAAACGCCCGUAGUUGAAUCUUCGGUCUUGAAGCUCGGUAACUCGUAAGGGUUUAACUGAGUCUUCUGGCCUAAAUUUUAGUAUUCUCCUGAUGCUCUUUAUUGAGUGUCUUGAGUUGCUAGAACGUUUACUUUGAAAAAAUUAGAGUGCUAAAAGCAGGCUAUAUGCUUGAAUAAAGUGCAUGGAAUAAUGGAAUAGGACUUUAGUUUUAUUUUGUUGGUUUUCGAAAUUAAAGUAAUGAUUAAGAGGAACAGACGGGGGCAUUAGUAUUGUUGCGUUAGAGGUGAAAUUCUUGGAUCGCAGCAAGACUAACAACUG